rnacentral:tRNA from 1 species
GCUUAAAUAGUUUAUAAAAAAUAUUGAUUUGUGGAAUCAAAGAAAAAUUUUAAUUUUUAAGUA